rnacentral:lncRNA from 1 species
CAGGCACCUGCCACCAUGCCCGGCUAAUUUUUGUACUUUUAAAGUAGACAUGGGGUUUUACCGUAUUAGCCAGAAUGGUCUCAAACUCCUGACCUUGUAAUCUGCCCACCUUGGCCUCCCUAAGUGCUGGGAUUACAGGCAUGAGCCACCGUGCCCGGCCACAUUUAUGUUUUAGUAAACUGUCAAGCUGUUUUCCAAAGUGCUGGUUCUAUUUUACAUUCUCUCCACCAGUGUUUGAGAGUUCGAGGUCCUCCCUAUCCUCCCCAACACUUGCUAUGGUCAGUCUUUUUAACUUAAGCCAAUCAAGUCGAUGGUAGUGCCAUCUCAUUGUGAUUUUCAUGUAUGUUUCCCUAAUGAAUAAUUAUGUUGAACAUCUUUUCUUGUGUUGAUAAGUCUGUUACUUUGGCAUCACUUCACAUCCAGCUUACUCUGUGCAUAAGAGAAUUUCACUCUUUUAACUGAUUGCAUUGGAAUGCUGACCAACAUGUCAUUAGGAACAACUGUGGAUUUUCUGUUACUUUAUAUUUAACUGGGCAUGUUUGUGAAAGGAUCCAGAACAUCCUCCAACUUAAUUUUCUUUGUAUGUGUUAGGUUAUUUCGAUGCUCUAAAAUUUUGACCAAAUUGAUUUUUAAGGUGUGGCCUGAUUUCAAGGCAAAAUUAGGGGUUAUCAACUUAUUUUAUUAGAUGUCUAAUUCUGUAAAUGAAUAUAUAUACAGAAGUGGAUUUCCACUUGAAAUAAGCUGUAAUAUUGACAUCUCGCUAUAUUCAGAAAUAAGAUGUUUGAGUUGGGAGGGACCUUAGCAGUCACUCUCUUCAGCCAUUCCCUUCAUGCCCCCUGCAGCACUCAUAAGGGGGUUCAUCUUUCCACUGUCAGAGAUUCGAGUAUCUGGAAGGACCUUGUACAAUAAGCAUACAACAAAAAAAUUCUCCUUUUGUAGAUGGUUGCUAACUGACCUUCAUUUGAAAUUGUUUUAUGGUAGUUAUUUGAUGGGAGUUAUCAGGUGAGAUUUAGCCAUCCAGAGCAAGCACUGCCUAUUAAGAAUUUCAUUGCUGUGUUUUUAAAUAUAUGUAAAGCGUAAAAAGGGGUGGGGGAGUAGGCAGAAAGAGCCUAGAAUCUGUAUUCCCCUCAGUCUGUGAUGAAGGAAGCCCUUUGCAAGCCUUGCUUUCACAACCUCAACAUGGCAUGGGCUUUGCUGUCAGUCAGGUCUGAGUUGGAAUCCCAGCUCUGCCUCUCCUUCUCCAUGAACGGGGUCAUGAGGGAUUAUGGGUAUUUUGUGGGUAGGGAGGUAUAUUAUACCCUCCUCGUGGGGCAGCUGGGAUGCCUACCUGAGAUAGGAGAUGGAGGGCACUGGCACCAGGAAAGCACUGGGUCUGUUUCCUUUUCUUACCUCUUUCUCUUUCUCCUCUUCCACAUGUUUUCUCUCAUCACUUAGGUCACUUAUAGAAAUCGUUCUUUUUACUUCUAUUUCAAUCAAUUUUGGAAAUUUCUCCAAAAAGAUAAUAAUGGUAAUGAAUACUUAAGCAGUAACAUUUAGCAAGUCCCUUUUAUGUACCAGGAAUAUCAAGUACAUUUCAUGCAUUUUUUUUUCAUUUACUUUUCACAAGAACUCAUGAAGUAAGCUGCAAUUAAGGCAGAGAGGAAACGGAAUGAGUGAUGGAGUCAAGGUGUGAACCAAGCCCUAACUGACCCCAGAGCUCUUAAUCACUCUGUAUAUUGCCCCUAUAUCUAAUUUUAGGAAUGCUCAGUUGUCUGUGUUUCCACCCCCAUCCAGAUGAUGAUAAUAUGAAAACAGUAACAGCUGGUGCAUACCUCGCACUGAGCACUGGUCUGCCUGCUUUCCACAUAUUAACUCAUAUAAGGCUCACUGUAACCUGUCACAGGUUCUAUUGCUGUCUCCAUUUUUGUGAUCCCCAUUUUUUAGGUGAGGAAAUGAAGGUGCAGAGACGCUAAGUAACUUGCCCACUUACUCAGGUUCACAUAGAGUUACAAUUGAUGUUCAGUCUGUCGUUCCUAAUGCCUCCGGUGUCUUUCCCCUAUCACUUCAUCAUUUCUUAAAAUUCAUUUUAAGCCCAUUUCAGACCAAUCAGAGAAGAGAUGGGAACUCCCUCCUGCUUAGCUUAGACAUCCGAGCUACUCUUUCCAGUAACCUGUAGAAUUCUUUCCUUAUCCUUGCUGCAGUCUUUCUAAAGUGGUGAUAUAUUGGACACUUCAUCCAAAGGCUGAACUGAGACUAAUGCCUAAGCAAGAAAGAAAAAAUAGCAAAUUCAUUAACUAGGAAUCUAUUUACAGUCAAUUCCCAAGGCUCAUUGUGCAGUCAGUGGUUCUGCAUCAUUUAGAGUUGCUAAUAAAUGAAAGUCUUUGCGUCUUUCCAAGUGCCUUGAUAUUUACAAGUCUCAUAUUUUACCAUAGGAAAUGGCUUCAACAAGCAUAUUCAUGUGUUGACAGUUCUAAUUAAUACAAGUAAUUAGCCCUGACAGAACUGUGAAAAGGAGACCCAUUCAUAAAUUUGCUAAUUAUGUUACUCUGCUCAGAAUUUAAUCGCAGUCUAGUCUUUAAUCAUAUCUGUAUAUGGGCAAAA